GACGAACGCUGGCGGCGUGCCUAAUACAUGCAAGUAGAACGCUGAAGGAGGAGCUUGCUUCUCCGGAUGAGUUGCGAACGGGUGAGUAACGCGUAGGUAACCUGCCUGGUAGCGGGGGAUAACUAUUGGAAACGAUAGCUAAUACCGCAUAACAGUAGAUGUUGCAUGACAUUUGCUUAAAAGGUGCAAUUGCAUCACUACCAGAUGGACCUGCGUUGUAUUAGCUAGUUGGUGAGGUAACGGCUCACCAAGACGACGAUACAUAGCCGACCUGAGAGGGGGGUCGGCCACACUGGGACUGAGACACGGCCCAGACUCCUACGGGAGGCAGCAGUAGGGAAUCUUCGGCAAUGGACGGAAGUCUGACCGAGCAACGCCGCGUGAGUGAAGAAGGUUUUCGGAUCGUAAAGCUCUGUUGUAAGAGAAGAACGAGUGUGAGAGUGGAAAGUUCACACUGUGACGGUAUCUUACCAGAAAGGGACGGCUAACUACGUG
rnacentral:rRNA from 1 species